ACAAUAGUCUCUUCUUUCUGCCUUCGAGUUGGGAAGCAGAGGCAAGCAGACAUCUGGUCUAGGCCAGCGUGACCAGAUAAAAAGAGUUCCGGCUCUUCUUUGCCUGCUUGCAAGCACAUCUGUUGGAACCUACUUCUGCAGCAGAGCAGCGGAACCAACCAGGUUCGUGGGACCGAGCAACUACCGACUAGAUUCUUGGACUUUCCCUUCACAGCUGACCUUUCUUGCAGCAGUUGGACUACAGACUGUUUUAUCCGAACCCCCACCCCCACCCCCUGCCUGCAGUAAUGGGACGAAGGAAGUCCAAGCGAAAGCCGCCCCCCAAGAAGAUGACAGGCACCCUGGAGACCGAGUUCACCUGCCCUUUCUGCAACCAUGACAAGUCUUGUGAAGUGAAAAUGGACCGUGGUCGAAAGACUGGAAUCAUCUCCUGUAUGGUGUGCCUAGAGGAAUUCCAGACCCUCAUCACACACCUGUCAGAACCAGUGGAUGUGUACAGCGAAUGGAUAGAUGCCUGUGAGGCAGCCAAUUAGUAACGAUGUCAAGGACCGGCUCCUCCCCAGACACCAUCUGGCUACCAAUCCGGAAGCUUCCAGGACUCCAAGGUACAGGUCCAGGACUAGGACAGCCCGCCCUCAGUGUGGAUGGAGCAGAUGUGAAUGAGGAGGUGUGCACAACUGCAGAUGUGAUUGUAGCAAUGGAGGCGAGCAAUUGCACCAAGCCGCCCGUGGUGGCCUCACAGAACCCAACACCUCAAGUGCCUCUGAAAGCUUUGAGUUGCUCUGGUCUUCAGCCAUGACCUUGCGUACAAGCUUGAGAUUCCUGUCUUCUCCAGUGACGGUUCCUGGCAUCCCAGGCAAGGAACAGCUGUGGGACUACAAGUCUCCUCAGACACCACACCAGCACCUUCCCCAGAAAAACUCUGUACAAGGACCUGAACUGUGAUGACCUCGGGACCAGGGUAAAGACCAAGAGAUUCGUUAAUGAGAAGGACUGGUAUAGACCAUAGACAGAGGAGCCGAGAAGGACCAGGUCACUUUGAGCAGGACCAGUUCACUUUGAGCAGGAUCCAUUUGGUUUGGACAAGUUUUUGGCAGAAGCAAAACAUCAUGUUGGUUCUAAAAGACCCUGGGAGAGCAUUUACCCCCAAGGAACAGGGGCUCAAAGGCAAGAAGCCAAACAAAGGGGUAUAGAGGCCUCUGGAAACUAAAGCUGACAUAUACAGCCGAGGAUGGCCUGGUCUAGCCAUCCUUCUGUGAGGGAAGAUGCACCUAACCCCGGAGAGACUUGAGACCCUGGAGAGUGGGGAAGCCUGGGGGGAUCGGGGGUGCUGGUGGGGAGUGGGGAUAUCAUCUCUUGGGUUCAUGGGGGAGGAGGAAUGUGAUGAAGAACUGUCAGAGGAGGGACAACGACAGGGAUAAAGACUGGACUGUCAAACACAUAAUUAAAGUUAAUUAAAAGAAAAAGGAAAAAACAAA